GAAUUCGAUUCAGGCCUAACACAUGCAAGUCGAACGCUCAGCAAUGGGAGUGGCAGACGGGUGAGGAACACGUGGGAACGUGCCUUUUGGUUCGGAAUAACUCAGGGAAACUUGUGCUAAUACCGGAUAAGCCCUUCGGGGGAAAGAUUUAUCGCCAAAAGAUCGGCCCGCGUCUGAUUAGCUAGUUGGUGAGGUAACGGCUCACCAAGGCGACGAUCAGUAGCUGGUCUGAGAGGAUGAUCAGCCACACUGGGACUGAGACACGGCCCAGACUCCUACGGGAGGCAGCAGUGGGGAAUAUUGGACAAUGGGGGCAACCCUGAUCCAGCCAUGCCGCGUGAGUGAAGGAGGUCUUCGGAUUGUAAAGCUCUUUGGCGGGGACG
rnacentral:rRNA from 1 species